GGAUAUCAGGGCGAUCUGGCUGUGACAUGUCACCCCAUUGAUCGCCAGGGUUGAUUUGGCUGCUCUGGCUGGCUAGGCGGGUGUCCCCUUUCUCCCUCACCGCUCCAUGUGCGUCCCUCCCGAAGCUGCCUAACAAAAAAUAAGUAGCUGAGAAAGUUGUGUACACACAACGGAAUACUUA
rnacentral:snRNA from 1 species